CCUUGACAUACUAAGAACUUUCCAGAGAUGGAUUGGUGCCUUCGGGAACUUAGAUACAGGUGCUGCAUGGCUGUCGUCAGCUCGUGUCGUGAGAUGUUGGGUUAAGUCCCGNAACGAGCGCAACCCUUUUCCUAUUUGCCAGCGGGUAAUGCCGGGAACUUUAAGGAUACUGCCAGUGACAAACUGGAGGAAGGCGGGGACGACGUCAAGUCAUCAUGGCCCUUACGGCCAGGGCUGCACACGUGCUACAAUGGUCGGUACAAAGGGUUGCUACCUCGCGAGAGGAUGCUAAUCUCAAAAAGCCGAUCGUAGUCCGGAUCGCAGUCUGCAACUCGACUGCGUGAAGUCGGAAUCGCUAGUAAUCGCGGAUCAGAAUGCCGCGGUGAAUACGUUCCCGGGCCUUGUACACACCGCCCGUCACACCAUGGGAGUUUGUUGCACCAGAAGUAGGUAGUCUAACCGCAAGGAGGACGCUUACCACGGUGUGGCCGAUGACUGGGGUGAAGUCGUAACAAGGUAGGCGUAGAUGA
rnacentral:rRNA from 1 species